rnacentral:rRNA from 1 species
GACGAACGCUGGCGGCGUGCCUAAUACAUGCAAGUAGAACGCAGUUUCGAACGGGUGAGAAACGCGUAGGUAACUGCCUCAUAGCGGGGGAUAACUAUUGGAAACGAUAGCUAAUACCGCAUACUGUGAGCUGGACCUGAGUUGUAUUAGCUAGUUGGUGAGGUAAAGGCUCAACAAGGCGACGAUACAUAGUCGGCCUGUGAGGGAUAUCGAGCAAACUGGGAACGGGACACGGCCCCGACUCCUACGGGGAGCAGCAGUAGGGAAUUAUCGGAAAUGGGCGGAAGUCUUAACGAGCAAAGCCGCGUGAGUGAAGAAAGUUUUUGGGUCGUAAAGCUCUGUUGUGAGGGAAGCGGUAACUAAACAGAAAGGGACGGCUAACUCCGUGCCAGCAGCCGCGGUAAUUC